rnacentral:rRNA from 1 species
UUAAUGAAGUAUUUGAUUAUGGUACAUCUUAAUGGGUGUCUAGGUAUAUAACACAUGCAAGUUUAAUAACUAUUUAGUUAUAGCGUAGGGGUCAGUAAAGUUGAGAAUUUGCCUAAGAGAUCAUAGUAAUAAUGAAUAUGUAAAGGAAAGGAAAUCAUUUCGCUCUUAGAUUAGCUCAAUCCCUAUUAGGUAGUUGGAGAGGUAAUGCUUAACAAGCCGAUAAUGGGUAAUAUUGGAUGACAGUCCUAUAUGUGACGUUGGAAAUGAAAAAGUCCAGAGCAUCUAACGGUGCGCAGCAGUGAAGAAUAUUGGUCAAUGCACAACAGUGUGAACCAGUGACCUAGAGACAUUUCUUUCUAGGAGAGAAGAGUUAAUAAAUUUUAAAUGAUGAUUAAAAUUUUGAUUAGUCCUGUCCAAUAUCUGUGCCAGCAGAAGCGGCUAUACAGAAGGGGCGACCCAUGGGAACAUUAAUUAGGUGUAAAGGGUACGUAGCCAGUCUUUAUUCUUAAGACUUGAAUUUAAAAGAAGUGACAAUAAUACUUAGAGUAGAUCUGAUAUGUGUUGAUACUGAGGGGAAUGCUAAGUGGCGAAGGCAAGUUACUAAUAAAAAUUGACGGUAAGGUACGAAAGUUAGGGUAUAGACAGAGAUUAGAUACCUCAUUAUUCCUAACCGUAAACGAUGCAAACAGGGUGUUAGUUUAAAACUAGUGCCGAGAUUAACGAGUUUAGUUUGCCACCUGUAGAGUACGGUCGCAUGGCUGAAAUACAAAUAAUUAGACGGCUUUAAAGCAAACGGAGUGGAGCAUGUUGUUUAAUUCGAUGACCCGCGAAAAAUCUUACCACAUCUUGCAUAUUUUAAAUCUUUAACAGGAAUUAAAUUACAGGUAUUGCAUGGUUGUCGUCAGUUAGUGCCAGUGAGGCGUCCGGUUAAUUCCAAUAAACUAACGCAAACCUCUAUGUAAAUUUAUACUUUACAAUGUACUCCGAUGAUGGGUGCUUUGAUAGGGGGAGUAAGACAAAUCCUCAUGGUCCUUAUGGUGUGGGCUAUAGACGUGCUACAAGAAUAAUUAACAAAGUGAUGCAAUAUCGAAAGAAGGAGCUAAACAUUAAAAAUUAUUAAAGUACAGAUUAAGAGCUGGAACUCGCUCUUAUGAAGCAGGAAUUCCGAGUAAUCGUGAAUUAGUAUGUCACGGUGAACUUCAAUCUUUAAAGUGUACUAACUGCUCAUCACGGGCUGAGUGGGAGUUUGCGAGGAAGUGGCAUGAUGUACUUUGUGAAAUGAGUAGUCAUUUAUGACACCUAUUUAGGUAAAACAGAUAAUAUAGAAUGUCGCGAAUCGUGAUUGCCGAUCGGUCUGAAGUUGAAACAAGGUUGUGCUAGAGGAAUCUGGCGCAGAUAGUUAACAAAA